CCUACGUGUGGCAGCAGUGGGGGACAUUGCACAAUGGGGGAAACCCUGAUGCAGCGACGCCGCGUGUGGGAAGACGGUAUUCUGGAUUGUAAACCACUGUCCCAAGGGACGAAAAUGACGGUACCUGGGGAGGAAGCUCCGGCUAACUACGUGCCAGCAGCAGCGGUAAUACGGAGGGAGCAAGCGUUGUCCGGAAUUACUGGGUGUAAAGGGAGCGUAGGCGGGGAUGCAAGGUGGGUGUCAAAACUACCGGCUCAACCGAUAGUCGCACUCAAAACUGCAGCUCUUGAGUGAAGUAGAGGCAGGCGGAAUUACUAGUGUAGCGGUGAAAUGCGUAGAUAUUAGGAGGAACACCAGUGGCGAAGGCGGCCUGCUGGGCUUUUACUGACGCUGAGGCUCGAAAGUGUGGGGAGCAAACAGGAUUAGAUACCCCGGUAGUC
rnacentral:rRNA from 1 species